AUACGGAGGAUGCAAGCGUUAUCCGGAUUUAUUGGGUUUAAAGGGUGCGCAGGCGGCGCGAUAAGUCAGCGGUGAAAUGUACCGGCUCAACCGGUGAGCUGCCGUUGAUACUGUCGUGCUUGAGUGCGCGCGGCGCCGGCGGAAUGUGUGAUGUAGCGGUGAAAUGCAUAGAUAUCACACAGAACACCGAUCGCGAAGGCAGCUGGCGAGGACGUUACUGACGCUGAGGCACGAAAGCGUGGGGAUCAAACAGGAUUAGAUGCCCUGGUAGUCCACGCUGUAAACUAUGAUAACUAUCUUUUAGCGAUACACAGUUAGAGGGUACGAGAAAUCAUUAAGUUAUCCACCUGGGGAUUACGUUCGCAAGAAUGAAACUGAAAGGAAUUGACGGGG
rnacentral:rRNA from 1 species